rnacentral:rRNA from 1 species
GAACCGUGCAAACGUUGUUCGGAAUCACUGGGCUUAAAGGGCGCGUAGGCGGGGGACCAAGUCCGGGGUGAAAUCUUUCGGCUCAACCGGAAAACUGCCUUGGAUACUGGUCUUCUUGAGGGAGGUAGGGGCAGGUGGAACUUCCGGUGGAGCGGUGAAAUGCGUUGAUAUCGGAAGGAACGCCGGUGGCGAAAGCGACCUGCUGGAUCUCUUCUGACGCUGAGGCGCGAAAGCUAGGGUAGCGAACGGGAUUAGAUACCCCGGUAGUCCUAGCCCUAAACGAUGGGUACUAGGUUGCGGACUUGACAUGGGUUCGCAGCCGAAGCAAAAGUGUUAAGUACCCCGCCUGGGGAGUAUGGUCGCAAGGCUGAA